GGGAAGGUGGCUCAAUGGUAGAGUGCUUGCCUUGCAUGCAUGAGGCCCUGGGUUCGAUUCCUCAGCCCCA
rnacentral:tRNA from 1 species